rnacentral:rRNA from 1 species
AGAGUUUUAUCCUGGCUCAGGAUGAACGCUGGCGGCGUGCUUAACACAUGCAAGUCGAACGAAGCAGUUAAGGAAUGAGUUUUCGGACAAAUGAGAUAACAGCUUAGUGGCGGACGGGUGAGUAACGCGUGGGUAACCUGCCUCACACAGGGGGACAACAGUCGGAAACGACUGCUAAUACCGCAUAAAAUGGCAGUUUCGCAUGAAACAACCAUCAAAGAAUAUCGGUGUGAGAUGGACCCGCGUCUGAUUAGCUGGUUGGUGCGGUAACGGCGUACCAAGGCGACGAUCAGUAGCCGGCCUGAGAGGGUGACCGGCCACAUUGGGACUGAGACACGGCCCAAACUCCUACGGGAGGCAGCAGUGGGGAAUGUUGCACAAUGGGCGCAAGCCUGAUGCAGCGACGCCGCGUGAAGGAAGAAGUAUUUCGUUAUGUAAACUUCUAUCAGCAGGGAAGAAAAUGACGGUACCUGACUAAGAAGCCCCGGCUAACUACGUGCCAGCAGCCGCGGUAAUACGUAGGGGGCAAGCGUUAUCCGGAUUUACUGGGUGUAAAGGGAGCGUAGAUGGUACUGCAAGUCCGGAGUGAAAACCCGGGGCUCAACCCCGGGACUGCUUUGGAAACUGUGGGACUAGAGUGCAGGAGAGGUAAGCGGAAUUCCUAGUGUAGCGGUGAAAUGCGUAGAUAUUAGGAGGAACACCAGUGGCGAAGGCGGCUUACUGGACUGUAACUGACAUUGAGGCUCGAAAGCGUGGGGAGCAAACAGAAUUAGAUACCCUGGUAGUCCACGCCGUAAACGAUGAAUAAUAGGUGUCGGGGAGCAUAAGCUCUUCGGUGCCGUCGCACACGCAUUAAGCAUUCCUUCUGGGGAGUACUUUCGCAAGAAGGAAUCUCGAAUGAGUUGGCGGGGGCCCGCACAAGCGGUGGAGCACGUGGUCUAAUUCGAUGCUACGCGAAGUACAUUGCCAUCCCUUGACAUCCAGCGAUUCUCCAAGAGAUGGAGGAGUGCCGUCGGGAUCUUUCACACAGCAGAUGCAUGGCCGUCGUCACCUCGUGUUGGGGAAUGUUCGGUUAAGUCCCGCAAAGAGCGCAACCCUUAUCCUCAUUCGCCAGCGGGUUAGGCCGGGAACUCGACGGACACCCCCGGUGAUAAACCGGAGGAAGGUGGGGAAGACGUCAAGUCAUCAUGCCCCUUACGGGAUGGGCUACACACGUGCUACAAUGGCAAAUACAAAGGGCAGCUAACCAGCGAUGGUAUGCGAAUCUCCUAAAGUUUGUUGUAGUCCGGAUCGGAGUUUGCAACUCGACUCCGAGAAGUUGGAAUCGCUAGUAAUCGUGGAUCAGAAUGCCACGGUGAACACGAAACCGGCCCUUGCACACACCGCCCGUCA